GGAGGUAUGGCUCAAAUGAUAGAGUGCUUGCCUAGCAAGCAAGAGGUCCUGAGUUCAAAUCCCAGUGCUGCCA